rnacentral:rRNA from 25 species
CACCCGUUCCCAUACCGAACACGGAAGUUAAGCUCUCUAGCGCCGAUGGUAGUUGGGACCUUGUCCCUGUGAGAGUAGGACGUCGCCAAGCA